UACGUAGGGACCAAGCGUUGUUCGGAUUUACUGGGCGUAAAGGGCGCGUAGGCGGCCUAGCAAGUCACUUGUGAAAUCUCCGGGCUUAACUCGGAACUGCCAAGUGAAACUGCUGGGCUAGAGUGCAGAAGGGGCAAUCGGAAUUCCUGGUGUAGCGGUGAAAUGCGUAGAUAUCAAGAGGAACACCUGAGGUGAAGACGGGUUGCUGGGCUGACACUGACGCUGAGGCGCGAAAGCCAGGGGAGCAAACGGG
rnacentral:rRNA from 1 species